rnacentral:rRNA from 1 species
GACGAAGGAUGCAAGCGUUAUCCGGAUUCAUUGGGUUUAAAGGGUGCGUAGGCGGCUUUUUAAGUCCGGGGUGAAAGCCCGUUGCUCAACAACGGAACUGCCCCGGAAACUGGAGAGCUUGAGUACAGACGAGGGCGGCGGAAUGGAGGGUGUAGCGGUGAAAUGCAUAGAUACCCUCCAGAACACCGAUUGCGAAGGCAGCUGCCUAGACUGUAACUGACGCUGAGGCACGAAAGCGUGGGGAGCGAACAGG